CCUACGGGAGGCAGCAGUAAGGAAUAUUGGGCAAUGGAGGCAACUCUGACCCAGCCAUCCCGCGUGAAGGAUUAAGGCCCUAUGGGUUGUAAACUUCUUUUGUUUGGGAAGAAAUCAGGACAUUCAUGUGCUGUUGACGGUACCUUACGAAUAAGCACCGGCUAACUCCGUGCCAGCAGCCGCGGUAAUACGGAGGGUGCAAGCGUUAUCCGGAUUUAUUGGGUUUAAAGGGUCCGUAGGCGGAUCGUUAAGUCAGUGGUGAAAGCCUACCGCUCAACGGUAGAACUGCCAUUGAUACUGGCGAUCUUGAAUAUGUAUGAAGUUGGCGGAAUGUGUGGUGUAGCGGUGAAAUGCUUAGAUAUCACACAGAACACCGAUUGCGAAGGCAGCUGACUAAUACAUGAUUGACGCUGAGGGACGAAAGUGUGGGGAUCAAACAGGAUUAGAUACCCUGGUAGUCCACACCGUAAACGAUGAUUACUAGAUUUUGGUCGCAAGAUCAGAGUCCAAGCGAAAGUGUUUAGUAAUCCACCUGGGGAGUACGUCCGCAAGGAUGAAACUCAAAUGAAUUGACGG
rnacentral:rRNA from 1 species